rnacentral:ribozyme from 14 species
AAAGAAGGAAACAAAGAAGUUAAAAAAAAAGAACGACAGGGAAAAGAACGCGCAACCUGCUGCUGAUGAACGUAUCACCGUUCUUUUCUUUCUUUUUUUC